UGAGAUCAGGUGCAGAAGCGGUUUUGUGUGGAGGAUUCAAAUAUGCUGGUGUGCUGCUACUUUGGGGGGCAGGUGGGGUAACGAUUCACCUCACCCCUGUGAGUAGUGCAGUAACUAUUUGCAGAAUACUGCCUGCUUUUCAAGAGGGGUUAAAUUCUAUUGUACACAUUCAAACCAUAUUGCUAUAUCGCAUUCUGGAGUUUUCCUAUGGACUUUAACCUUAAAAAUCCCAGUUUUAGAUUUGUCUACAUUUCAUCUCUCAGUCUGGCUGCUCUCACUGUCCUUCAUAAACGCCCUUGCCUUAGAAAUAUGUUCUCGAAAGUAAAUAACUCUUGAACAUGGGCAUAAAGGUGAACUUACAAAUGAUUUUUUUUUUUUUUGCCAUGAUCUCUUUCCCCCUUUCCCCUUUUUUUGUUUUGUUUUUUUAAACAAAUGGAUCAAAAUUUAAAUAAUUCAAGCCCUGCCUUUCAGAAUGGAGGGAUUUUUUUUUUUAGUAUUGUCUAGCAAAACCAAUAAAAACCCAGAAUUUUUUUAACCAUC